rnacentral:misc_RNA from 4 species
UAGGGAGACCUACCCAUUGAAGAAUCGAAAGCCGAAGGCGAAUAGAGAAUCAAAUGGUCUACUCUAGGUCGGUCGAGAAUUGGUCAAGUCUCUUUCAAAGUAUUAUAUUUCCGGUGAUUCCCAGCAACUAGGAAAGACCUAGACUGCUGGUGAGAACCAGCCAGAACCUUGAAAACUGCAUAUAGAUAGAUAAGAGAGCCGAAAUCGAAAGAUAGAAGCAAGUGAAAAACCAAGU